rnacentral:lncRNA from 1 species
CCCAGAAUUAAUGCCUUGUCAGCUGUCUGCAUAUCCCUAAAUCCAGUCAAACUGACACUGAAAAUUAACCAUCAUGUCCUCAGGUUGUGAUUUGAGUUUGUGUCAUCUUCCUGUUGGCACCAUGACUGCUACAGUAGUGGGUACCAGAAACUGCUCCUUAAAAUUGUAUUUGAAGAGGACAAGGUUGAAAGGUCAUUUUUGGGAUCAGGGCAAUGAGAUAGUAGUAAAUUAUGGUAUAUGGUGGUACCACAACUAAAACUGUCACUGUGUAUUAGUGUGGAAUGAAGUGCAAUUGGAGUAGAAGACCUCGAUGGACCAAAUGGUUAUGGUACAUCGUCAUUAUUGGGAGUUCUAACUCUAAUUAUAAAGAUUUUGUGGGGCUAGAGAUGUGGCUCAAGCGGUAAUGCACUUGCCUGGCAUGCGCGGGGCGCUGGGUUCGAUCCUCAGCACCACAUAAAAUAAAGAUGUUGUGACCACUGGAAAAAAAAAAUAUUAAAAAAAAAAAAAAGAUUUUGUGGAUACCUCACAACAGCUCUGGAGAAAGGUAUGUAGGAAAAGGAAAACAAGUAACCAACCAACCAAAAACCUAUGAACAUAGAAGUAGGAAAUUCAGUGCUAGAGAGCCUCCAUGGCAUCUUUGAAUUGAUUUCUUAUCUGUGCUCACAGGGCAGUUCUGGGACAAACUCAGGUUUGGUUGCAAGGGUUGCGGAGUCGCAGCUCCAGUUAGUGUUAGUCCCUGAGAGACCAGGUCUCUCAAGUUACAGUAAGGGCAAUGGUGGGAAAGGAGAUGGGGAUAUUUGGACUGAGAAGUUUAAACCUCAGAACUUCUCCAGAUCCUUAUUGUUUACAGAGGCAGGCCCCUAUAAGAAGAAUUAGAUCUCAACAAUUCCUGUUAAAGUUAUGGGUUCUUCUCCAGGAGGAUUGCCUAUUCUGAAGGAAUUUUAAGACCUCUGCAAAUUUAUUUUUGAAGAACCUUGAGAGUUUGUGGGAGUAGCUCCUAGACCAGGGGAUGUCCUAAGUGGCCUUACAUAAAAUGGCCAGUUAAAGGAUGUUUGCUUUCCAUUAUACUGACCUUGUACUUAAUUUCCCCUCGUUUUAUUUGGAAAAAAUUGGUAUCUAUAGGAAGGUUGAAUGAAUAAUACAAGGAACACUCAUUAUUC